rnacentral:rRNA from 1 species
UACGUAGGUGACCAGCGUUGUCCGGAUUUACUGGGCGUAAAGAGCGCGCAGGCGGUCGUUCAAGUCGAGUGUGAAAGCCCCCGGCUCAACUGGGGAGGGUCAUUCGAUACUGAUCGACUCGAAGGCAGGAGAGGGAAGCGGAAUUCCCGGUGUAGUGGUGAAAUGCGUAGAUAUCGGGAGGAACACCAGUGGCGAAGGCGACUACCUGGCCUGUUCUUGACGCUGAGGCGCGAAAGCUAGGGGAGCAAACGGG